AUCCCCAUUCCUGCCCAAGUACUCAUUUUAUUAUCGAGCUGGUGUGUGACUUUAAGUAUUUUCUUUUGAAUGCUUUUGUUAAUAAAAUUUAUUUGUUUUAAUUGAAAACCGUCUCGCCCCGGUGGUAUAAACGAACCUGUGCGACCUUGUCUAUCUAGAAGUUUAGUUUAGGAUUUCCUGGGGUGCAACUCCCCAGGUGGCGUUGUCGGACCUUCAAAUCUUAAUACCCCCCACCACACUACCGCCCACCACAAUGGCUUACUACUAAAACAUUCAAAUGUUACAACUGGCAUCAAUAUCAUUAAAUUGCUGACAGAGUGUAUUGACAGAGGAGAGGUGUUAACCAGACAAACGGGAGCGGAGGAGAGGAUUUUACUCCACUUCUCCAGGUCGGAGAUGCUGGGUGCCCAGUAGCUGCGAAGGCUGCCCUCACAUUUAUGGCCAGUGACCAACAUGAUCUCCCUGCUCUCCAGGCCAGCGAUUUGCGAUGCUGGCAAGCUGGGAAUUGACUAGCAGCCAGUACAGUCCUCUCUCGUCUAGCUAACAUUUAGCUGUGUUACUUACUGAUCCAUUAGAAAGAAAGCUAGCUGGACAUCGGUUUUGAAGCCUCUUCCGUCACAGAGCUCCCUCAAUCUCUUGAACGCCUGAGUGAGGUUUACUCUUGUUUUUCCUCUUCUUUUAUCUCUCUCCUUUUUGCUCUUCUUUGCCUCCUCAGACAGAGGAGCUCGUUUUCUUUCGCUAGGCCGUUUUUCACUUGUUUCCAAACUUUGUCCAUCUGUCAUUGUGCUCGUGACUCAACUAUCUCAUGCCCAACUCCUCAUAAGGACCAGCCCCAGUCCCUGAUUGGCUGACCGACCAAUUUCUCAAUACAUGACGCGUUUCCUGCCGUAAAGCAGAUUUUUUCCGCAAAAUUUUGCCCCCGGUGGCAGAAGCUUAUUACCACCAAGCUUAUUAUUGGCCACUACCCUGUGCAACCCACAUUAUUUUCAUAAUGAUAUAUUUAGGAAAAGAUGCUAUCUGUUGCCUCUUUAAUUUAUAGUUAUAGAACAUUUGAUUUAUAUAAAUUCUAUACAAAUAUAGAAUAAGCACAUCAUUUCUUAGAGAUGCUAUUGACUGUUUUAAAAACUUAAAAAAAAAGAUGGAGAUGGGUUUGUCUUUUACAAGGGUAUAUACAGCAAAUGACAAUGUUUUAAUUUAAUGAGAGUUCUUCUUUGAACACAGGCUCAUUCUCAAGGUGGCAGUCAUUCAUAAGGGCCCCUUCUCCACCCAACGUAGCUAUUGUUGGAGGGCCCACUCCCUCUAUGGGCCCCCCACGUCACGGACCCCAGUGCAACCCACUGCCUGCACUGUCUAUAUUUACGCCCCUGGCUCAGCAGAGGUGUCUGGGGGGCACAGUAUCUGAACCCCAUUGAUACCAGAUACAAUGUCAAUCAUUUUGCUCCAAAACGGUUUAACUGAAUUGUUUUUAAUGAAGUUACAGACUAUCAUUGCCAGUGUUGGUAAGACUGUGUUACUUCCUUUACUAGCAUCUCUGCCCAGCAGGAUUUAAAAAGGGCCCAACAGCGGUAUCUGGCGGUCAUUCUUAUGUAGUGAGAGCCUACCGCGCCAAUCCCCUAGGCUAUACCCCUCAGUGAGCUCAGCCUCCACACUGACAGGGAGUAGGGUAAAGCUGCAGUACCCAUUUCAGGACCGCAGUUUCAGGGCUGCAGUUUUAGGACCCUUCAAUUUUCGUCACAGCGCCACCCACGGUUAGAAGGACUAGAGAGGAUGAGAUGAGAAAAUGUGAGUAUCUACGGUUAGAAGGAGUAACGUUAGAGAGGACAAGACGACAGAAUGUGAGAACAGUUUUAAUUGUUUAAGGUCAAAAGUUGGCUACUUUGUCUUUAAAUGGAUCUGCAAGUUACUAUGGGCUGGCUUCAUUAUGCAUUAAUCGAUACGUUUACCCUUCGUAAAGUCCACUGAGUAAUACUUUUACGAUAGUUUGCUGCAACGGCGUUAGCUUGUUAGCAUGCUGGCUUACACGGAUGCUAUAACGUUACAUGCUAACAUGUGUUUUUGGAAAAAAAAAAAAAAAAAAAAAAAAAAAAUCCUAUAUAGCCAGUGGGUCUAUUCUCUUAGAGAAACAUCACAAGUUGGUUUAAUUAUAAAGGUUUUUGCAGACACAUUUUAUUACCUCCAUACUGACAGUGUUUUAUUUUAAGUUUCUUUACUUUAUUAAUCCCCCUGAGGGGAAAUUCAAUGUUUUCACUCUUGCUUGUCAAUUACACACAGGUCUGAAAGACACACACAUGCACAAACAGGACCUAUACAUGCACAAAGUGGAGAGAUGUCAGAGUGAGGGGGCUGCCCUUUGGUCAGGCGCCCCGAGCGGUUGGGGGGUUCGGUGCCUUGCUCAAGGGCACCUCGGCAGUGCCCAGGAGGUGAACUGGCACCUCUCCAGCCACCAGUCCACGCUCCAUAUUUUGGUCCAGGAUAUACUUUGAUUGAGGACAUUUUCACAAUACUGUAGCGCCCCUCGGUACAGAAGCUACUACAAUCUGCUGGUUUGUGAAAUAGAUGUAGGCUACAAGGUUGAUUUUGGACUUGACUAACUAUAUUCUCUUUUUUAGGAUGCUUAUUUCAAUACAAAGCGGGCAAUCACUGCCAGACAUUAAAAGAUGCAGCACAUGCUGCAACAGAUUUCAUUGUCCGCUCUGCAGCUCAACAGUUUAUCAACCCACAAAGUUGAGCAAAGUACAGGCUCAUCUGGACAGCCACUUCACUCGUGCAGUUGUCCAUGAAGACAUGGCCAGAGAUUUGCCUUCUGGAGUAAUGAGGCCAACUUGCUCCAGGGAACUCUUCAGCCAGUGUACAGAGUACCAAAACGGAUAGCCCCAACUGAAGAUGUUCCCGCUCACAUGCAGGCAGUCAGUUACCAUACCCAAAAUGAAAAAAGACUUGUGGAUUCAUCAUACAGUCACAGGGAGCAGCGCAGCAUUUGGCGGAUGUGCUUAAUGGAAAGCCAUCUAAGUGGUUUCCUCAGAAACCCUCAUACAAGG